GUGUCAGUUUCCUCAGUAUUUGCUGGAGCUCUGCUUACCCAAGCUUUGGGUAAAACAAGCUUUGGGUUCCUUCUGUCUCACCGGGAGUUGCCCAGUUUGGUUGCAUCUGGUGAAAUUCACCCUGAGACCUGACAGAGCUGGCUCAGACUACGUGAGAGCCAUUUGCGGUUCUCUCCAGACACCUGGAGAAUGGGGAAAGACUCUCGUGUCCUGGUCGUCAGGCUCAGUGCUGCCCGAAAAGAUACAGAGACUAAAAAAACAUAAGAAGCAAAUAUAACUGCGGAGAAAACAAACUGGAGAGAACAAAAGGAGUUUUUAAUUCUGUGUUGCCAAGUCAUCCAUCGGAGCCCUGUUGUAAUAAUCAUCCUACAAAUAUAAAACAAAAAAUCAGACUCUGUCCCAG